rnacentral:lncRNA from 1 species
CAAAAACUGUCUCGGCUCCUCUAAUGUAAUGGCUAGACGGCUCGCAAAAUGGCUCCCUCAAUAGGCUCAGCUGAAGAAGGAACCCCGGGUUUUCAAGUCUUCUACACGGGUUCCGGGUUGGGCUAACAAAAAAAGGUGCAGAUUUUGGGCUAUUCAAAACACCACGUUUCAGCUUUGUAUAAAACUUCAAAAAAUUUAUUUGCGUUUGAACUUUUCCGUUCACCACUCUAGCUGACCGAAUUUUCUCUCACCCUCUCUCUAACCAAGAUGAAUCCCGGCCCAGAUUGUCAAGCUUUCCCAGAUUCCGGGACCGCUCUUCUCUGUCAGCCGUCGUCAAUCGCCGAUCACCGCCGGCCACCAGUGUUAAACUUGUACCAAAAUUCUCAUCGCGAUCCGCUCUUUCCAAUUUCCUAGCUAGAUUUCUCUGAAAACAACUAAAACUCUUUGUACCCUUCCUUAUGGUGGACUACGAUCUCCAAAACCCUAUCCACCGACGUCUGCUACCGCUAAACCGCCAUUAGUGGUGACUCAAUGGCCUUCGAAAAUCCUUAAACCCACCACCUAAACUAUUUCUCUUUCCCUCCCUACCUAAAAACAAGAGUCUCGAAAUCAGCCCACACAACCCCAAAAUACCUCAUUCCCAAAAGGCUUUUUAUUGUGAUUUAUGUUUGUGUUGUUUUGUGUUAUUGUUGUUGAUUGAGGGCUGUUGAUUUUUUAUGGUUCUCUUUGAAAGAGAAUAUAGUUUGGGUCAUUGGUCUUGGAUUUUUUCUGUUGUUUUCAUUGAAUUUUCUGCAAGUGUUCCUUUUUGAUGGUUGCUGUUUGUUUAUAAUCCAUUAGUCCAAUCCUACACAGAAAUCUUAAAUCAACAUAUUCAUAAGGAUUUCGGUUUGAAUAAAUUCAAUCCCCAAAACAAUUUUAUCUCCAAUCAUCAUCCAUUUCAACUUUUGUUUUUUUUUUUAAUUUUUGGUUUUUUUUUUUUUUUCAAAAAUAAAUUAUAAACUAAAAAAAUAAAUAAAUUAAAAAAUCAAAUAUUUGAUAGAGACUUAAGACCCAAACUAGUCCCAAAUCAAUUCAAAGCCUAAAUUGCAAAUUCAAAUUUAAAUAAACUAAUCUAAAACUCAUAUACCGUAAGAUUUUUUAUGCAAAAAUAUCUAUUAAUAAUUUUUUUUUUGAAAACAUUAUUUUUAAAUUUAUCAAAUUUUACUAUAUGGAUUUAUUUUUAUUUCUCAAAAAUUAUUAAAAUCACAAAAUUUUUCAUUAUAUUAAUAAUGUUUUAUAGUUUAUUUUUUAAAAAUUAUUUUUAAAAAAAAUUAUUAAACGUUUUAAUGUGUUGAUAAGAUUUUAUUUUAAUAUUUUAAAAAUUAACUCUCCUAUAUUUUGAUGAAAUUUUUAACAAUGUUUAUUUUUUUUUUUAUUUAAAAAAUUUAAAACAAUAAAUAUAUAAAAUAUAUAAAAAUACAAAAAAUAAAAAUAAUCUUACCAGUUCGGCUUAGUAAGUGGUGUGGCUCGGUGGCUCAACCCAGCUCGAACUGCUGGAUGCUAAAACGAGUCGGGAGUUGCGAGCACUCUAGUCGGAUUGGGCUAACGGAAGCACAUGGAUUCUCUUUUAAUAAAAGAGUGUGUUUUGGCUUCUAUAAAAGCCAAGUUUUUGCCUUACCAUUUAUUUCCCUUCUCUCUCUGAGCUAAUUUUUCUCUAACCUCAAUCUUCCCAAACUCAGAAACGAUGAACUAUAGCACUAGAUUUUGAAAAAUCUCAUCGACAACUUUAAAAUGUCGUUGAAAUUUCGUCGAAAAUACCAAAGACUUACUGAAAAACUCAAUGGAAUUUGGAGAAUUUCUGGAUUUUUUAUAAAAAAAUUUAGCAAAUCCUCCCCUCGACAGAUUUGAUCUCACAAACACUAUUAUCUACAAUUUGUCCUCAAAAUCACACUUAAAACCUUUCAAACCCGGAAAAACAAAUAAAAAAUACUCCAAAUCAGUACCCUCUUCUGGCCAAACUUUCACCCAUCUUUUUUUUAUAUUUUCACUCUCUUUUGUGUGAAUUCUCUCUGUGCAAUUGCUUUCCCCCUUAAUUGUUGCAACAACUUAGGAAUAUAUAAUAGUUGAAUCCUGAUUUAGAUAGUUAUCCAAAACAAAAAGGAGAUUGAGCUUCUAAAAAUUCAUCUAUCUUAAUCUCUAAAUUUUAUUUGAAAAAUUUUAUCAUCAAAGAAGUCCAUCUACUUUUGGAUUUUACCUAAAGAAUUGCGCAUAUCCAACAUAAUAAAAAACCCCAAUUCACUCUUGCACCAUCUUUAUCAAUGUGAGAUUUUUUUAGAAAUAGU